rnacentral:lncRNA from 1 species
AGACUGGUGUUGGACUCAUACAGAGAAUGAGAAAAGAUAGCAAGGUAAGGAACACGUCAGAUGAUCUCAAGCCCUUGAAUGUCGGUUUAAGCCUGUUGACAAGCUGGAAUCUUGGAGAUUUGCUUAUCUCUGGAUCAGGCCUCCGUGCUGAGCAUCAUGGCCCUUUGUAACUGGCUGUGAUCCCUUUUUGGGACUUCAGAGUAAGACUGUGUCCUUUACUUACAACUGAAUGAUUCUGGGGCUUAAGUUCAUUCUCUUGAAAGGCAAGAUUUACCAAUCCUCUGGCCCUCCUUCAGAUGCCUAAGAAAUGAACACGUGAGCCAGACUGACCAAUCUUGUCCUGUUCCUGUUACCCCAGCCCGUGUUCCCCCAUCCCGCAGGGACUGAUUUGGAGAUGCGUGUCUGACUUAGGUC